rnacentral:lncRNA from 1 species
UGUAAAGGGGUUACAUUCUUGAUUUAGCUGUCAGCUUGAACAUUAUUGGUGUAUAGAAAUGUUAUUGACAUUUGUGUAUAGAAAUGCUAUGUUAAUUUUGCAUCCUGAACCCACACCAAAAUCACUUAUCAGUUCCAGGAGUCUUUUGAUAGUGUCUUUAAGUUUUUCUAGGUAUAAUCAUAUCAUCAGUAAAGGGAGAUAGAACGGAAUGUAGGUUUAUUCUAAAAAUGGGUAUUAAUAAUGGCCAAUCAAUAUUUUGUGUAUUUAAGGUGGAGAAUGUAUAUUUUGUGUAUUUGAAAUGGAGAGCUCUAUAAAUAUUUACUAAGUUUACUUGUUCCGGAUCUGAGUUCAAGUCCUGGAUAUCCUUAUUAAUUUUCUGUCUCAUUGAGUCUAAACCUCUUUAUGAGUCUAAUGUAUCUGGGUGUUAGGAUCAUUAGCUCUUAUUGUUGCAUUGAUCCUUUCACCACUAUAUCUUUGUUGCUUUGAAAUCUAUUUUAUCAGAUGCAAGAAUUGCAACUCCUGCUAUUUAUUUAUUUAUUUAUUUAUUUUUGCUCUCCAUUUGGUUGGUAGAUCUUUCUCCAACCCUUUGUUUUAAGUCUUUGUGUAUCUUUGGAUGUGAAAUGGGUCUGGAUGUAGCAAAUCGUUAGGUUUUGGCUGUAUCUUUUGAUUGGGGGAUUUAGUCGACUUAAAUUUAGGGUUACUGCCAUUUGAUGUUAACUGGCUAUUGUAUCCAUUCGUUGAUGUAAAUGCUUCUUUAUGUUGAUGCUCUUUACUUUUCGGUAUAUAUUUAGAAAGGCUAAUACUGGUUGUUCCUUUCUAUGUAUAAUGCUUCUUUCAGAAGCUCUUGUAAAGCCGGCCUGGUGGUAAUAAAAUCUCUGAGUAUUUGCUUGUUCAUAAAAUACUCAGGGUUUUUUUUUUUGUUUUUUUUUGCCAGUACCAUACAGUUUUGAUUAUGACAGUUUUUUAAAAAUGUAUAAUUUUAAGUCAGGAGGUGUGUGUGAUACAUUCAAAUUGUUUUUAAGAAUUUACAAAUUUUAAAAUGUUUAUCUAUUUUUCUCAAAAAAUGUCAUUGAAAUUUUGAUAAGGAUUUCAUUGAAUCUAUAUCUUGCUUUGGAUAAGGUGGG